rnacentral:lncRNA from 1 species
CAUCUCAAUCUUGUCUUAUUUUACUCUUUUUUGUUUCAGUUUGAUUUGGGGUUUGAAGAUUUUAACUUUCUUGCAAAAUCUGAGAGACCCUAAACCAAAGAAAUUCAUCUAUGUAGAAGAAGUAGUUUGGCAAAUAACUUUGAAGUAAUCAGAAUUGACCUGAUAUACUAAGGAUAUAUUUUAGAAACAUAACAUGUGUUUGUGAAAAAAACUUUUAAAAAAUUAUGUUUAUUUUUUACAUAAGUAUAUAGUAUUUUGCAUCCUAAAUAAUUUUUUGUAGAACGUUACUCCUGGGAUAUACUCCCUAAAAAAACUGUUCCAUUGCCAAAGACUAGAGUAAUGCUGAAUACUCUGUCUUGGGCUAUGCUGCCCUGGUGUCCAGCCACAGGUAGUGUUUGAGUACUUGGAGUGUGGCUAUCCUAAAUUGAGAUGUGUUGCCUGUAUGGGAUUUUGGCAAAUUAGAACAAGUAUAUAUAAAAAGAAUGACAGUGAAUAACUUUCUGAUAUUGAUUACAUAUUGAAAUAAUAUUUUGGAUAUAUUAGGUUAAAAUAUCUUUUUUUUUUUUUUGAGACAGAGUUUCACUCUUGUCGCCCAGGAUGGAGUGCAAUGGCAUGAUCUCAGCUCACUGCAGCCUCCGCCUCCAGGAUUCCAGAGAUUCUCCUGAGUAACUGGGAUUACAGGCGCCCACCAACACGCCCAGCUAAUUUUUAUAUUUUUAGUAGAGAUAGGGUUUCACCAUGUUCACCAGGCUGGUCUCCAACUCCUGGCCUCAGGUGAUCCACCCCCUUCGGCCUCCCAAAGUGCUGGGAUUACAGGUGUGAGCCACUGCGCCUGGCCUAGGUUAAAAUAUCUUAUUAAACAUAACACCACCUGCUGCUUUUUUUUUUUUUUAACAUGGUUAGCAUAAAUUGGAAAAGUAUACACGUGCCUGGUAUUUGUGGCCACAUGUUGGACUGUGCUGCUCUGGAAGAUCCACAAUGCAGACCAAGAAUAUAAUAAAAGCCCUGAGAAGUACUAUAAGAAAAAAGACUGAAAACUUGUUUGAUGCAAGGAACUAGGUGUUCUUACCCAAGUUAAACUACUUGAAAGAGACCACCAACCCUCUUUCUACCUUGCCCAUUGACUCCUGGGCCUUAUUACUAUGGAGUAAGGAUAAUAGGAGAAUGAGAAAGCAGAUAGAAGAAGGAAAGAAGAGAGUUGCAGGCCCUUCAACUGGGCCUGCACAAAUGCCCAAGAAGUGACUUUCUGAUACCAGAAGGCCAAAAACCUCACCUUCACAGCAUGCUAAUGCCACCAUUUUCUGAACAUGUGUCCUAUGAAGAGUCAUGAACCUUGAUUAUGCAUGCUCAGACCACCUAUUCAUUUUUCCCCACUGCUAAUCACCUUCCCCACACCUUAGACCACCCUGCUUCUUUACCCCAUAAAUAUCUCUAAGCCCUAUCUUUGGAGAGGUGGAUUUGAAAGCUGUUCUUCCAUCUCCUUGCUGGGCUGUCCUGUGAAUAAAAUCUUCUCUUUACUGCAAAACUUGUUGAUAUGGUUUGGUUGUGUCCCCACCCAAAUCUCAUCUUGAAUUGUAGCUUC